rnacentral:rRNA from 1 species
AUUGAACGCUGGCGGCAGGCCUAACACAUGCAAGUCGAGCGCGCGGCGGACGGGUGAGUAAUGUAUGGGGACUGCCCGAUAGAGGGGGAUAACUACUGGAUACGGUAGAUAAUACCGCAUAUUAUCGGAGAACCCACAUGGGAUUAGCUAGUUGGGGGGGUAAUGGCUCACAAAGGCGACGAUCUCUAGCUGGUCUGAGAGGAUGAUCAGCCAAACUGGAACUGAGACACGGCCCAGACGCCUACGGAGGCAGCAGUGGGGAAUAUUGCACAAUGGGCGCAAGCCUGAUGCAGCCAUGCCGCGUGUAUGAAGAAGGCCUUAGGGUGGUAAAGUACUUUCAGCGGGGAGGCGUUACCCGCAGAAGAAGCACCGGCUAACUCCGUGCCAGCAGCCGCGGUAAUUC